rnacentral:siRNA from 1 species
AGUGGCGCGAAGCUACCGUGC